AAGCCAGUAAAUAAAUCUGCUUACUUGACUGUGUUGGCAGAAAUUCAGAAAUAGCUGGCAAUACUAAAGCCAUGUUACGAGCCUUAACGGCAUUGAGGUUGUUAAGGUCCCUGAAAGUGGCUACAGAA